rnacentral:lncRNA from 1 species
CAUAACACUCAAUCAGGAUAACACCAUGUGUGAAGUAUUUAGUAGAUUAUAAAUGUACCGUAUUUGUAAUAUCAAGAUUUAAAACAAGAUAGUCUUACAAUGGAUUAGCACUUUAUAUCUGUAAGUGGGAUUAGGAAUAGGCAAUUUUCUCAGUGAGAACUCAUUGGGUAAGAUUCCAUGGAACUAAAAUAUUUGCAGUCACUAAUUAUAAGUAACAUUCCUCUUUGUCCACCUCUACUCUAAAUAAUUUAAUAUGCCACAGCAUUUAUUUCUGGUUCUUUUCUGUGGUGACUGAGUCAGAUUUUUAGGUUCUUGUUAUAUCUUUUAACACUAAAAAACUUCAGCGCUGGGAUGUAAGAGAGCUGUGAUAAUUCUUGAUAAAUUUUAAGUUGUGUAGGAAUCGUGCUGUGUCCAUAACUUUAGUUGAUAGAAAAUUAUCCUAACUAAGGUUGCUGCCCCUCUUCUCUUGUUCCCCAUCCCUUUGAGGCUAGAGGUUCGUCUUGACUUAAAUGGGGUUACCACUUGUAGCUCAACUGCUGGCUUGGCCAAGAGCCAGGAGGUCAUACAUGAGAAAUAUCACAAGGCGACACCACAAAAAUUUCUCUCCCACAGGUCCUGCUGUCAUAGAGCCUGAAACGUCUUUGGGUUCACUCAGUCCUUUGAAGACCAAAGGGAGGAAUAGAAAAGAAUGCCCUGAAAACAGAUGCUUAUUAAUUCAAAGUUUUGUUCCAUAUUACUUUUUUUCCAAGGGUUGCUUUGAUUUUCCAAGAGUAGAAAUAGUUAUCACCUAAUCAAGAUUGUUAUUGUUGGUAAGCUGAAUUCACAACUAGACUAUUCUAAUGACAAAUAACCAGUGAUAACUGUGUUUUGAAUUGUGUGAAGAUUCACAUCCACAACAACAACAAAAACAAAGAGUUUUUUUGUUUUACCCCUGGGUUGUCUGGAUUGGGAUCCAGAGACCACAGAAAUUCAAGGCCAU